UAAAGCACUUUCAAUGGGGAGGAAAACCUGCCGGUCAAUACCCGGUAGCUUGACAUUACCUGUAGAAGAAGCACCGGCUAACUCCGUGCCAGCAGCCGCGGUAAUACGGAGGGUGCGAGCGUUAAUCGGAAUUACUGGGCGUAAAGCGUGCGUAGGCGGUUCGUUAAGUCAGAUGUGAAAGCCCCGGGCUCAACCUGGGAACUGCAUUUGAAACUGGCGGACUAGAGUUUAGUAGAGGGGAGUGGAAUUUCAGGUGUAGCGGUGAAAUGCGUAGAUAUCUGAAGGAACACCAGUGGCGAAGGCGACUCCCUGGACUAGAACUGACGCUGAGGUACGAAAGCGUGGGUAGCAAACAGGAUUAGAUACCCUGGUAGUCCACGCCGUAAACGAUGUCAACUAGCCGUUGGGAGACUUGAUUUCUUAGUGGCGCA
rnacentral:rRNA from 1 species